CCCACCCAACCUGGCACUGAAUGUCUUCAGGGAUGGGGCACCACAGCUUCUCUGGACAGCCUUUUACUGUGCUGCCUAGGGGGACCUACUAUGGUCCCAUGAUGCAUUUUUUUAUCUAAAUUUUAGUUUUCACAUGAACAAAACCUUGCAAUCAGUGGGAAGGUCCAUAGCCUCACUGUUGGGAUGACCAUAGCAACUAUUUACACUGCAGGAAAACCUCUGAACAUUACUACUCCAGUGAUGCAUGUUGCAGCUGCAGAGAGUCUUCACUCUUUUUAUCUUAGUUAAUAUAUCAGUUUAUACAAGAGCUGAAUCCCUUUCUCAGAUUCUGCCUUGCAAUGGGUUCUGAGAUUCAUCUAUUUUGAUAUUUUAAUACAAUGCAUAAUAAUCCAGUGUGUAUUUUAGGCUGAAGAACAAAGUCAUUAGUCAUAACGGCACAGCUGCAGGAGAAUUCAAGGGACAUCAUCACAUCACUGGGCUUCUGCUACAGCCAUUGAAGCAGCAUGCAAAGCUUUUUGGCUUUCUUGACAACCGUGGCAGACAGUGGGAUGGACUAAAAGGAUGGUGACGUCUGACUGCCAUUCUACAUUGGAAUGGACAUCUUCCUGCUCUCCUGGAGGCAUGCAAAAUCAUGUGCCCUGUGCUUGUCCUUGGACACUGUCUCCCUCUGUGCCCUCUCCCAGAAUAUAAUUCUCUCUGGAUGCUCCACGUUUGCAGUUCGUGACUUGGAAAUGUGACCACAAGAUCAAAUGGACAAAGAGAAACAAAGAGGAAAUUACACAAGACACUUGUAAAGUUUCCUAGCCCAAGACUUCGCCUACAGCACAAUGAAAUCAGCAGUGCUGAUACACUACACUAAUGGCCAUUCUUUGUGUGCACAAACAUCUCUUCUCAGGACAUGUCUACCCUGAAGGGAAAAGUCAGCACAGGCAGUCUACCCUUGCUCUUGCUGAUGGCUGGGAGCCCACUGCAGCCCAGAAACCAGGGAACUGAAAAAACUGGCAGUUAACAACCCCACUUUAAUGCACCUAUGAUUAUCUGGGGAAGAGCUGACCACUGGCAGCCUCCAGUUUCCCCAUGCAACACAUACUCCCCUCUUGGUAAUGUCCUUUCUUCUGUUUUGAAAGGCUGAGGGAUCCUUGUAUUCACUUCUGAUAAACAGCAUGAUAGUGAAACACUUACAUAGAGAGAGCCUGAUCCUAGCUGCUAUGCAACUGACUCAGCCCCACGGCUAAGACUGAAGGGACAUGAGCACAUGUGAUGACAUUUCCUUGCUGUCCACCUGCCUCUGCAGUGCCAGCUCCUGUCCCAGGUGGUUUCCAGAGUCUGCAUCCUGUCUUCUUGCGUCUUCAGUGCGUGGUAGGAGAUUCUGGUAGACACACCGGAACUGUUCUUCAACAAAGAACUUUCCUGAAAGUUUUGGCCUCGUUGGAUGUGUGAUAACCACAAACACAAAGGUUUUCCAGGCACUCCAGGGUACAGGUUUUAGUACAGGUACUACAGGUUUUGGUUGAGGUACCAAACAUCCAUAAGAACACAUCAAGACCUCUGUGGGCAGAGCACACUGGAUUUUAGUGGACAAAGCCUGGUACCUGUCACUUGCGGAAAAUAGUGGCUGGUAUAGAAAUACUGUGCACAAAGGUGGCAGGGUCUCCACUCCCGCCUGAAGUGCGUGUGUCUUCCCAGCACCAGAGUGUGGUCUGGUGUAAUGGAGUACCUUACAAACCGAGAGGCGGGACAAGAAGUGAAAGCCACCAGCUAAAAGUGAUUGCCAGCACAGAUCCUGCUCCUCAGGAUUAGGCUUGAAUGUAGAUGCAAGUCAAACAACCAGAUAAAUCUAUCUGUAGAGCCAUAUGUACAAAUUGGUUGUCUUGUGGCACUAAAAUUAUGGUGUCGUUUCAUGAUCUUGAAGUGCUUAUUCUUGCAAACACUGUCUUUUACUUAACAGAAAUGCACACAUACGCACUUAUACAGGGAGGCAGUUUACAAGCAGAGAUGUGUGAAUAUUUGCCAAGGAUGUUUACCCUACAUCUCCUCAUAUAAAACCUUGUUUUCAAUGGUCUCUACCAAUCUACCAAAACCCUACCAAUCUUCAGAUCUUAAAUCUGACACACCAGCCCUCUCCGGCUGUUUGUGUUAUAGAGUCAUAGAAUCAUAGAAUGGUUUGAGUUGGACGGGACCUUUAAGAUCAUCUAGUUCCAACCCCCCGAUGAAUGUGGAUAAAGAAAACCUUAUCUGUUUCUUAAGAUGACUACUGAGAGAAAGUCCCAAAGCAUACGGCUUGUUCUAAGGAGAAGCUCCAACCCCCUGUGACACGAGGGUGUGAGAGCUCUAGGUACCUGGAACUGAAGACAUGUAAGCAUAUUCUGUUUUCUGAAUGGAGAAAUGUGAAGAAAAAAAGGAAAAAACACACACAUAGGUCUCACCAGCAACACCAGCAUGUUUGGUGGUGCGAUCUGUCAUACCAUUAAGCUAUCUAUCUCCUGGUUUUUCUUGAUGAGAUGGAGUCUAUGAGCUGGAUUUCUAAUGUAAAUCAGCAUAUAAUAUCUGGAUGUUAUUUCUCUGUCCUUUUAGUACUGUCUGGAUGUUAACAUUUGAUGCAGAGAAGCAAAGAAAGUGAAAUACAUUCAUGCAUGU